ACGAACGCUGGCGGCGUGCCUAAUACAUGCAAGUUGAGCGCUGAAGGUUGGUACUUGUACCGACUGGAUGAGCAGCGAACGGGUGAGUAACGCGUGGGGAAUCUGCCUUUGAGCGGGGGACAACAUUUGGAAACGAAUGCUAAUACCGCAUAAAAACUUUAAACACAAGUUUUAAGUUUGAAAGAUGCAAUUGCAUCACUCAAAGAUGAUCCCGCGUUGUAUUAGCUAGUUGGUGAGGUAAAGGCUCACCAAGGCGAUGAUACAUAGCCGACCUGAGAGGGUGAUCGGCCACAUUGGGACUGAGACACGGCCCAAACUCCUACGGGAGGCAGCAGUAGGGAAUCUUCGGCAAUGGACGAAAGUCUGACCGAGCAACGCCGCGGGAGUGAAGAAGGUUUUCGGAUCGUAAAACUCUGUUGGUAGAGAAGAACGCUGGUGAGAGUGGAAAGCUCAUCAAGUGACGGUAACUACCCAGAAAGGGACGGCUAACUACGUG
rnacentral:rRNA from 1 species